GGAAUUUAAUGCACCAAAUGAACAAACAAAUUAAAUUAAAUUUUAAAAAAGAUCGUGAAAUUUGGAAUCAGAAGGCUUAAGAAUGAAUUCCAGUUCUGCUUUUUACUAGCUUGUGACCAUUGGUAAGUCACUUAUCCUCUCUGGGCCUCAGUUUCCUUGUCUGUAAAAACCAGGGCAAUUGACUAGAUGAUGUCUGAGGUUCCUUCCAGCUCUGUGUUCUAUAGAAUACAAGAAUAAAAUGAAUAGUGAAUACAACAGUUAAAAGGAGAUAGUGCUAUCUGGAAGUGGAUAAAGAAGGUUUCCUUAGAGGAUGGGGGAUUUUGCUUUUGCUGCUAAAUACUGAAUCUGGAAUGUAAGGCAAGGAAAGGACAUUCUAUAAGUAGGGGACACAGUAUGAGGAAAGCAGCUGGAAUGCAUAUGAUACAUUUAGGUGACAGUGUUCAGGGAGUAGAAUAGCCUGCCUGGAACAGAGGAUAGAUAUUGAGAAGGUGCAAACCACAAGGUUGGAGAGGUAGGUUGGGGCCAGAUAUUAGGCUGUAUUCAAUGAUAUGCUGGAUUUUAUUUUGUAGACAAUGAAAAGUUACUGAAAGUUUUUGAGCAAAGAAAAAAGUGUAAGAAGCCAUAUUUUAGUAAAAUUAAUCUGAAACAGGGUGGUUUAUAAAUAAUAGUCUAGAUGUGAAAGGAUCCGUUAAACAGAGGUUAAUGCAAUUAUCCAAGUGUGGGGGUGAUAGGGUCCUGAAUUAGGGGAGUAGUGGUAGUUAUCAAUCAGAGACACAAGGAUUCAUAGGCUAUUUUUUCUGUCUAUCUUUAGAUGAAUUCUCUUUCCCUUUUAACUUCAGAAUCCUUCUCUAUUUAUAGUCAAAAGAUUUGAUUUGGAAUCCUAGACUGGACACUAUCUAUAAGACCCUGGGCAAGUCUUUGAACCUGUGGAGCCUCAGUUUUCUCAUCUUUCAAAUGGAAAUAAUAAUACUUGCAUUACAUUACAGAAUUGUUGGCGACCCAUGAUCAGCGAUCUCUGAUAUUACUAUUGUAAUUGUGUUGGAGUGCCAGGAGCCGCACCCAUA
rnacentral:lncRNA from 1 species